GGGCCCGUGGCGCAACUGGCUAGCGCGCGUGAAUGGCAUUCACGAGGUUGUGGGUUCGAGACCCAUCGGGUCCACCA
rnacentral:tRNA from 4 species